AACGAACGCUGGCGGCAUGCCUAACACAUGCAAGUCGAACGAGACCUUCGGGUCUAGUGGCGCACGGGUGCGUAACGCGGGGGAACCUGCCCUUAGGUUCGGAAUAACUCCCGGAAAGGGGUGCUAAUCCCGGUUAAUUUCUUCGGACCAAAGAUUUAUCGCCUUUGGAUGGGCCCGCGUUGGAUUAGCUAGUUGGUAGGGUAAAAGCCUACCAAGGCGACGAUCCAUAGCUGGUCUGAGAGGAUGAUCAGCCACACUGGGACUGAGACACGGCCCAGACUCCUACGGGAGGCAGCAGUGGGGAAUAUUGGACAAUGGGCGAAAGCCUGAUCCAGCAAUGCCGCGUGAGUGAUGAAGGCCUUAGGGUUGUAAAGCUCUUUUACCCGGGAUGAUAAUGACAGUACCGGGAGAAUAAGCUCCGGCUAACUCCGUG
rnacentral:rRNA from 1 species